ACAAAUUUUUGUAGAACUUGCUAAGACCAUGGAAGGAUUUGCUGCAGACUUUGGACUUUAUGGCAAUUCGACAUCUGGUUUUGCUUCAUCCCAAUUGGAUUGGUUGUUUCUCUCCAGCGCACACGUCAACAACAAUGCUCCUUUAAUUUGAUUGGAUCCAAAAGAUAAAAGUAAGACCGUGGGAUUGGAAGCUGAGUCAAAAGCAGUAGCUCAAGAUUGUGGGAAAGGUUGCAACAAUUGCAUGCCCAUGCAAAUCUAGAUACAAGGACUAAAGGAAGAAAUGAAGCGACACAGUCAAAAGA